GGUAGGCGAGGAAGGUGUAGACGUGCAGCAUCGCAGGACUGUCAGCUGGGGGCGUCCAAGACUCAUCUUGUCGCCGGCUGGUAGUGAUGGGGGGCCGGGUAUGCAGUUAGAGGCUCCUGGUUUUCACGUCCCCAGACACUGGGUGUGCUUGCUGGGUUCUCUUAACUUGGGUCUAGCCUCAGUGCCCAUCCCUGCCUGCCUUGACCCAGGUGCACUGGCAAAUGUUUAACCACCAGCUUUUGGGCAAGCACAGGUCCAUGUCCAUGGUCUAAGUCCACCCACCUUGGCCAAUUUCAAGCUACUGGCUCAUGUGAUUGGGCUCGUGGAAUUCCCAAGACUCUCACGAGUGGUGCUCCCAGAGCUGGUGGCAUCAGGCCCCUACACAGUACCAGCCAGGCCAGCUCUCCCGCGUACCUCGAGGCCCCUUGGGGGAAGAAGGCACACAUUUCAAGGCAGGCUAGGUGGGGGGGUGGGGGGUGGUACGGAUUUAAUAUUUUUUAGUAUUACAAUAUAUUCUUAUAAAAAAGGUGCAGGCAGAAAGGACGCUGCAGACUUUGUACAUUAGUCUCACUUGUCAUCUGAACCGCUACUACGGCCCCAAUCCCAGGAGUCCGGCGUAGGGAAAAGCUAGGCAGCUGAAGAGUGGGCCCAGCCCAUCAGUUUGUCCACUGGCAAUAACCCUGAGCUGGAGGAGGAGGUCAGAAGGUUCAUCAGGUGCCGGACAGUGAGCCACAACGGGGGGAACCCAAAGGUGAAUGUUCCAGGAUUCGGGAUUAGUAGAUAGGAUGGAGCUUGCAGCGGGGAAGGGAGUGAGAUUUAGGGCUGCAAGAGAGGGGCCUGAGGACUCGUGAGGGAGGAAAUGGGCAAUGACUUGGUCCUGCAUCAUCCUCCCAACAUUUUUCUUUUCUGGAACACAUCGAGCUAGAAUUCAUGCCUCCUCCACCCAGGAGAAAACUUUGCCCCAGCUGAAUAUUCCAUUAAGCCUACCCUUGAGAGGUGGGAGCCUCAAUACCUCUGCCCUGGCCCACCCCCUCCUUACUCCCCACGCACGAGAAACCCGGACAAGGUUCAUGGAUCUCUCCAGCCUAGAUCUGGAACAGCUCCGUGCCAACACGUGGGGGCGGGGAAGCAGGGACCCUUCAGCCCGGGCUGACCAGGGGUGUCCAGGUCAGCCUCAGAGAGUGACCCCUGGGGGCCAGGGUGCAGAAGGAGUAACAGGAGGAGAUGAGGGGAGCUCCUUCAGCUGGGGAGACACCUGGUCCUGCCACACACAGUCCUGACCCGGGGACCCAGCCCAGGGCUCUACACUGAGCACCAGAUCCUGUAAGUAUCCGUGGCCCGACCACUCA